rnacentral:rRNA from 1 species
UACGGGGGGAGCAAGCGUUGUUCGGAUUUACUGGGCGUAAAGCGCGUGUAGGCUGACCGGAAAGUCGGGCGUGAAAUCCCUGGGCUCAACCCAGGAACUGCACUCGAAACUCCCGGUCUUGAGUGGUGGAGAGGGAAGUGGAAUUCCUGGUGUAGAGGUGAAAUUCGUAGAUAUCAGGAGGAACACCAGUGGCGAAGGCGGCUUCCUGGACAACAACUGACGCUGAGACGCGAAAGCCAGGGGAGCAAACGGG